rnacentral:rRNA from 1 species
UACCCGGCAGCACAAGUGGUGGUCAUUAUUAUUGGGCCUAAAGCGUCCGUAGCUGGUUUGUUAAAUGCCUGGGUAAAUCGAUGCGCUUAACGUAUCGAACUCCGGGUAGACUGGCAAACUCGAGACCGGGAGAGGCAUGGGCUACUCGCGGGGUAGGGGUAAAAUCCUGUAAUCCUGCGGGGAGGACCAGUGGCGAAGGCGCCAUGCUAGAACGGCUCUGACAGUGAGGGACGAAGCCCUGGGGACGCAAACCGG